UACGUAGGGCGCAGGCGUUGUCCGGAAUUAUUGGGCGUAAAGAGCUCGUAGGCGGUUUGUCGCGUCUGCUGUGAAAUCCCGAGGCUCAACCUCGGGCUUGCAGUGGGUACGGGCGGACUAGAGUGCGGUAGGGGAGACUGGAAUUCCUGGUGUAGCGGUGGAAUGCGCAGAUAUCGAGGAGGAACACCGAUGGCGAAGGCAGGUCGUCUGGGCCGAUACUGACGCUGAGGAGCGAAAGCGUGGGGAGCGAACAGG
rnacentral:rRNA from 1 species